rfam:Nicotiana attenuata strain TT chromosome 8, whole genome shotgun sequence.
GAUCUUUCUAUCGAAUGUCCGUUAAAAAUUGGAACUAUAUAGCGAAGAUUAGCAUGAGCCCUGCACAAGGAUGGCACGAACAAAUCGAGGAAUGGUGCCAAAACAA